rnacentral:misc_RNA from 1 species
UCCUAGUUUCCCAGGCAGUCCCACCAGAGUGCCCCAUCACUGGGUAGCAACUGGCGGCAGGGGUUGCGCUCGUUAUAGGACUUAACCCAACAUCUCACGACACGAGCUGACGACAGCCAUGCAGCACCUGUGUAUAUGUCUAGAGUUUCCCCUAGAAAACUGUAUUUCUACAGCGGUCAUAUACAUGUCAAACCUAGGUAAGGUUCCUCGCGUAGUGUCGAAUUAAACCACAUGUUCCACCGCUUGUGCGGACCCCCGUCAAUUCCUUUGAGUUUUAAUCUUGCGACCGUAAUCCCCAGGCGGAUCACUUAACGCGUUAGCUACGACACUAAUUCUGCAAAGCAGAACUAACAUCUAGUGAUCAUCGUUUACGGCGUGGACUAC